rnacentral:rRNA from 1 species
UCGAGAAUCUUCGGCAAUGAGCGCAAGCUUGACCGAGCGACGCCGCGUGCGGGAUGAGGGCCUUCGGGUUGUAAACCGCUGUCAGAGGGGAGGAAAUCUAUCGGGCCCACUCGGUAGUUGACCUAUCCUCAGAGGAAGUCCGGGCUAAGUUCGUGCCAGCAGCCGCGGUAAGACGAACCGGACAAACGUUAUUCGGAAUCACUGGGCUUAAAGGGUGCGUAGGCGGUGCGACAAGUCGGGUGUGAAAUCCCUCGGCUCAACCGAGGAACUGCGCCCGAUACUGCCGUACUUGAGGGAGACAGGGGUGAGCGGAACUGAUGGUGGAGCGGUGAAAUGCGUUGAUAUCAUCAGGAACACCGGUGGCGAAGGCGGCUCACUGGGUCUCUUCUGACGCUGAGGCACGAAAGCUAGGGUAGCGAACAGGAUUAGAUACCCCCGUAGUCC